GGAAAAGAUUGACUGUGUUCAAGACAUUUCACUGUCCAGGUUCCUGAAAAGCAUGGUGUAUCACACUUAGUAAGAAAAGCUCUUGGGACUUCAAGACUCUGAAGAAAGAAAUUGAAGAAGACCUCAGAAGAUGGAAAGAUCUCCCAUGCUCAUGGAUUGGCAGGAUUAAUAUAGUAAAAAUGGCCAUUUUACCAAAAGCGAUCUACAGAUUCAAUGCAAUCCCCAUCAAAAUACCAAUCCAAUUCUUCAAAGAGUUAGACAGAACAAUUUGCAAAUUCAUUUGGAAUAACAAAAAACCCA
rnacentral:lncRNA from 1 species